UCCCAGGGGGGCUCCUGGUGGGAUUCCCGGAAAACCCCCCCGGCAGCCGCCUGCUGCCCCCUCCGGAGCUGGAAUAUUACAUCCAACAAUUCCGGAAAUCCGGAUUCAGGGGUGCCCUGAACUGGUACCGGAACAUCAGAGCCAACUGGGAAUGGGCCCUGCGCGCCCGACACCGCAAGCCGUCUCUCCCGGCGCUGUUGGUGACGGCCGGGAAGGAUCCGGUGCUGGCGCCCGCCCUCAGCCACGGCAUGGAGAGAUGGGUGAGGG